GCUUACACAUGCAGUCGAACGAUGAACCCGGAGCUUGCUCUGGGGGAUUAGUGGCGAACGGGUGAGUAACACGUGAGUAACCUGCCCUUGACUCUGGGAUAACCUCCGGAAACGGAAGCUAAUACCGGAUAUGACGCACGGAGGCAUCUCCUGUGCGUGGAAAGAACUUCGGUCAAGGAUGGACUCGCGGCCUAUCAGGUAGUUGGUGAGGUAACGGCCCACCAAGCCUACGACGGGUAGCCGGCCUGAGAGGGUGACCGGCCACACUGGGACUGAGACACGGCCCAGACUCCUACGGGAGGCAGCAGUGGGGAAUAUUGCACAAUGGGCGCAAGCCUGAUGCAGCAACGCCGCGUGAGGGACGACGGCCUUCGGGUUGUAAACCUCUUUUAGUAGGGAAGAAGCGAAAGUGACGGUACCUGCAGAAAAAGCACCGGCUAACUACGUGCCAGCAGCCGCGGUAAUACGUAGGGUGCAAGCGUUGUCCGGAAUUAUUGGGCGUAAAGAGCUCGUAGGCGGUUUGUCGCGUCUGCUGUGAAAUCCCGAGGCUCAACCUCGGGCCUGCAGUGGGUACGGGCAGACUAGAGUGCGGUAGGGGAGAUUGGAAUUCCUGGUGUAGCGGUGGAAUGCGCAGAUAUCAGGAGGAACACCGAUGGCGAAGGCAGAUCUCUGGGCCGUAACUGACGCUGAGGAGCGAAAGCGUGGGGAGCGAACAGGAUUAGAUACCCUGGUAGUCCACGCCGUAAACGUUGGGAACUAGAUGUGGGGACCAUUCCACGGUCUCCGUGUCGCAGCUAACGCAUUAAGUUCCCCGCCUGGGGAGUACGGCCGCAAGGCUAAAACUCAAGAGA
rnacentral:rRNA from 1 species